UACGUAGGGGGCAAGCGUUGUCCGGAAUUAUUGGGCGUAAAGAGCGUGUAGGCGGUCCGGUAAGUCAGCUGUGAAAGUCAAGGGCUCAACCCUUGAAAGCCGGUUGAUACUGUCGGGCUAGAGUCCGGAAGAGGCGAGUGGAAUUCCCGGUGUAGAGGUGAAAUUCGUAGAUAUCGGGAGGAACACCAGUGGCGAAGGCGGCGAUCUGGGUGGAUACUGACGCUGAGGUGCGAAAGCGUGGGGAGCAAACAGG
rnacentral:rRNA from 1 species